GACGAACGCUGGCGGCGUGCUUAACACAUGCAAGUCGAACGAAGUGGCGAACGGUUGAGUCAUACGUGGGUAACCUGCCCUCCUUUUUGGGAUAAGCCUUGGCAACGGGGUCUCAUACCGAAUAAAGGGGGUUGGGCUCGCGGCCUAUCAGCUGGUUGGUGGGGUGAUGGCCUACCAAGGCGGUGACGGGUAGCCGGCCUGAGAGGGUGACCGGCAACAUUGGGACGGAGAUACGGCCCAGAAUCAUACGGGAGGCAGCAGUGGGGGAUAUUGCACAAUGGGAGAAAGCCUGAUGCAGCGACGCCGCGUGGGGGAUGAAGGCUGUGGGGUGGUAAACCUCUGUCGCUAUAGAACGGGUAGGUGGAGAAGAAGCGCCGGCUAAAUACGUGCCAGCAGCCGCGGUAAUUC
rnacentral:rRNA from 1 species